rnacentral:tRNA from 1 species
AAAAGAUAAGCUAACUAAAGCUUAUGGGCUCAUACCCCGUCUAUGAAGGUAUAUUUCUCUUUUU